rnacentral:rRNA from 1 species
GACGAACCGUGCGAACGUUGUUCGGAAUCACUGGGCUUAAAGGGCGCGUAGGCGGCAGAUCAAGUCCGGGGUGAAAGCCCGCAGCUCAACUGUGGAAGUGCCUUGGAUACUGAUUUGCUCGAGGGAGGUAGGGGUCGAGGGAACUUCUGGUGGAGCGGUGAAAUGCGUUGAUAUCAGAAGGAACGCCGGUGGCGAAAGCGCUACGACUGGAUCUCUUCUGACGCUGAGGCGCGAAAGCUAGGGGAGCAAACGGGG